rnacentral:rRNA from 1 species
AGCGAACGCUGGCGGCAGGCUUAACACAUGCAAGUCGAACGGGCACUUCGGUGCUAGUGGCAGACGGGUGAGUAACACGUGGGAACGUACCUUUCGGUUCGGAAUAAUCCAGGGAAACUUGGACUAAUACCGGAUACGCCCUUCGGGGGAAAGAUUUAUCGCCGAUAGAUCGGCCCGCGUCUGAUUGGCUAGUUGGUGAGGUAAUGGCUCACCAAGGCGACGAUCAGUAGCUGGUCUGAGAGGAUAAUCAGCCACAUUGGGACUGAGACACGGCCCAAACUCCUACGGGAGGCAGCAGUGGGGAAUAUUGGACAAUGGGCGCAAGCCUGAUCCAGCCAUGCCGCGUGAGUGAUGAAGGCCUUAGGGUUGUAAAGCUCUUUUGUCCGGGAAGAUAAUGACUGUACCGGAAGAAUAAGCCCCGGCUAACUUCGUGCCAGCCGCCGCCGUAAUAC